rnacentral:rRNA from 1 species
UAACAAUGAUUCCCCCAGUAACGGCGAGUGAACAGGGAAAAGCUCAAAGUUGGAACCUCCUGGCCCUAGGUUAGGCGGAUUGUAAACUAAAGCGGUUGGGUAGUACGGUUGGCAUGGUAAAAAAGUUCUCUGGAAAGGGGCGACAUGGAGGGUGAAAUCCCCGUCUUUGGCCAUAGCUCAAUCAUACGUUCGCCCGGCUGCGAAGAGUCAGGUUGUUUGGGAAUGCAGCCUAAAAUGGGAGGUAAAUCUCUCCUAAAGCUAAAUAUUGACGAAAGACCGAUAGCGAACAAGUACCGUGAGGGAAAGAUGAAAAGCACUUUGAAAAGAGGGUCAAAAAGUACGUGAAAUUGCUGAAAGGGAACCGUAUGAAAUCAGUCUGAUGUGGUAGUAAUCAACCUGGGCUUCGACCUGGGUGCACUUGCUGGUACGUUAGCCUGCGACAAUUCGGCCUGGAGGAAAAAAGAUGGGGGAAUGUGCCCUCGGCUUCGGUUGAGGUGUUAUAGCCCCUGUCAAAAUACUUUGGGCUGGAUUGAGGACUGCAACAAGCCUUUUGGUAAAGGUCUUGGCCGCUUUUUCCCUGUCAAAAGAGAAUCUCUGCUUCGGGUGGUGCUUUUUUGACGGGGGGAAACACGGUCAUUUCUCUUUUUUUCUUGCUUAGGUCGUAGGCAUAAUGAUUUUAUAUGA